UGAACUUAAGCAUAUCAAUAAGCGGAGGAAAAG
rnacentral:rRNA from 1 species